UACGUAGGGUGCGAGCGUUAAUCGGAAUUACUGGGCGUAAAGCGUGCGCAGGCGGUUCGUUGUGUCGGUGGUGAAAGCCCCGGGCUUAACCUGGGAAUGGCCAUGGAAACUGGCGAACUGGAGUGUGGCAGAGGGGGGUGGAAUUCCGCGUGUAGCAGUGAAAUGCGUGGAGAUGCGGAGGAACACCGAUGGCGAAGGCGGGUCUCUGGGCCGAUACUGACGCUGAGGAGCGAAAGCGUGGGGAGCGAACAGG
rnacentral:rRNA from 1 species